rnacentral:sRNA from 1 species
CCGCUCUUGAAACUGGGCAUUUGGUUGAAGAGCAUAAGUUUCCUGACAGAGGAGGACUGACCUUUGGUCAAGGGUAUAUGAGUAGCCACGCUCCUACCACUAAACGAGCUUGUUUUGAGCUCUCAAAGGAUGUGAGAACAAGC